rnacentral:snRNA from 1 species
UUGGAUUGUUCACCCACCAAU